UACGAAGGGGCGAGCGUUGUUCGGAUUUACUGGGCGUAAAGGGCGCGCAGGCGGCUCAUUUUGUCAGGCGUGAAAGCCCCGGGCUUAACCUGGGAACUGCGUUUGAUACGGAUGGGCUAGAGUUCGGGAGAGGAGAGUGGAAUUCCCAGUGUAGAGGUGAAAUUCGUAGAUAUUGGGAAGAACACCGGUGGCGAAGGCGGCUCUCUGGACCGAGACUGACGCUGAGGCGGCGAAAGCGUGGGGAGCAACAGGG
rnacentral:rRNA from 1 species